UGAGCAGGCUGGAUGGUCGCGGGCGAAGGGGGAAACCCCUCGUCUGAGGAAAGUCCGAGCUCCCCAGGGCAAGAAUAACGGCUAACCGCCGCCGGGGGCGACCCCAGGGAAAGUGCAACAGAGAUAUACCGCCGGGAUUUCCCGGUAAGGGUGGAAAGGCGAGGUAAGAGCUCACCGGCGCAUGGGAGACUAUGCGGCCCUGUAAACCCUAUUCGGAGCAACACCGUGGAGGAACAUGAAGCGUAGCCCUGCGCGUUCCGAGGAGGUGGCGCGAGUCUGACGGCAACGUCAGGCCAAGAUAGAUGACUGUCCACGACAGAACUCGGCUUAUAGGCCUGGUCACAUG
rfam:Clostridium sp. CAG:1013 genomic scaffold, scf138